GGAGAGUGGAUGGUGCUCUAGGCUAGCUGCUGGGUCUCCACCAAGACAAGGCCCUGAGACUAACACGGCUGCUACUCUGAACCCUGUUGGACCUGUUUUUAUUUCACAUACAGACUGUGUGUGACUGGCUGGAGGGUUGAGUCAGCAAAGGCCCACCACAAACUGGAUAGAGAGUGUGUACACUCACUCAGCCAGUGGGUGCUUGUGAGAGGUGAGUGCACCCCCAUUCCAAUGAUAUUGACCUUUGUAAAGAGCUUUGAGAUCUCCUGAUGACCAGUGCUAUCUAAGAAUGCUGCUAUUCUAGUUACUGACAGAUGUCCAAUAAAAUCUCCAUGCCUUUCUGCUCCUACAGCCACUUGGUUUCCAAGCGGUUCCUCCUGCAAUGGUCUGUUUGUGGUGAAUUUGCCAUAGACCAUGUAUCUAUCGGCUGUUCGUUUCAGCCAGAAGCAGCCAUCCUUAGGUGCAACCAUAAAAGAGUCAUGGUAUCAACUUUAAUCAUGGAGUCACAGCCAGCACCUCAAUUAUACAGUAUUUUGGAGAUGUAAUAUUUUUGGUUCCCAUCAAAGACAAGAAGAAAGAUUCCAAGCAAAACCAGUAUGUGUUCAUCCAGGCCAUGCACCCCCCACAGGUCACCCUGGACUUGAGAAGGUGGUUCUUGUCUCCUUCCACAGUAGCUAUACCUUUGUCCAGAUGGACAGGUACUGUAUUCCACAUAUCCCUUCUAACAGGAAGCGGGGGGAGCUAUUGACUUCACACUAGCGCUGUAGCAGGUCUGCAGAUUCCAUAUGCUGGAGUGUAUUGUUUUGCUUGUCUUGUGGUUGAAGGCAGCAUGGAGUUACAGCAAACACUCUGCCAUCCAUGUUCUCCUUAAUGCUUUGUUCUCCAUAAGCCUUUUUAGGCUUGUCAACACUAUUUGCCAUCCUAAGAACAAGAUGUGCAACGCCCUACAUGCACAUCCCAGCGUGCUUACUCUCUCCAAGCAGUCUAAUAACCAGUUGUUGUAGAUUCACUUUGAGCUUGUUUAAG